CGCUGCCAGUAUUGAGAAAGGCUUAAAAAAGUCACGGUAAAAAACUGUAGAUUCAAUAUGGGAGUGGAGGCAGACUUGACUAAGCACUGUUGAAAGGCCAAGAGUUGAAGAACUUGGAGUUAAAAGAGGGCAAUUCAUUAUUAUCACCAAUUGGCAUAAAAGUUUUAUGAUGCCUUUACAAUUGAUCCUUCAAUGUCACACAGGAGUCAGGAGAUGACCAAUAAUCAGUGAAACCAAAAGAGGACAUGGACCCGUGUAUUCUGGGUUGCCGCAAAGACUUCUGCAUCCGCAGUGCAGUGCAGUACGUGCGUGCGUGCGUGUGUGUGUGUGUGUGUGUGUGUGUGUGUGUAUGGUCGACGUCACUUCGCUACAGUCUGCGGAGAAGCCUGAGAGCAAGCGAGCAGUGGCUUACUUCCUCGAUCGACGGAAUCACAGACGAGAAACUGAAGGGAAGACAAGAACAAGAAAACUCACGAAACAAGAAAUAAUCCACACGUUUGCAAGACGAGGUGGCCCAGUGACACAUCACCAUGGCGCCCUUCUUGCGGAUCGCCUUCAACUCCUACGACCUGGGUGUGCUGUCUCCGCUGACCCCUUCUGAUCCCCCCUUUUGUGCCAUUAAGAUGAAGGAGGCCCUCACCACCGAGCGUGGUAAGACCCUGGUUCAGAGGAAGCCCACCAUGUUCCCAGCCUGGAAGGCCAGCUUCGAUGCCCACAUCUACGAGGGGCGUGUCCUGCAGGUGCUGCUGAUGAAGACUGCCGAGGAGCCAUUGGCCGAGGUCACAGUUGGCGUGUCCGUCCUUGCCGAGCGCUGCAAAAAGGGCAACGGCCGUGCUGAAUUUUGGGUGGACCUGCAGCCCUCAGGGAAGGUGAUGAUGGCAGUGCAGUUCUUCUUGGAGGGAGCAACUGAUACAGAGGGCAAGCUGCCCACGAAGGAGGAGGAAGGGGGGCCCACCAUAAACCGCAGGCGAGGAGCCAUCAAACAGGCCAAGAUCCACGAGGUCAAAUGUCACGAGUUCAUCGCCACCUUCUUCAGACAGCCCACCUUCUGCUCCGUCUGCAGAGAGUUUGUCUGGGGCCUCAACAAGCAAGGCUACAAGUGCAGACAAUGCAAUGCAGCCAUCCAUAAGAAAUGCAUCGACAAGAUCAUUGGCAGGUGUACGGGCACGGCCGCCAACAGCCGGGACACUGUGUUCCAGAAGGAGCGUUUUAAGAUUGACAUGCCACACCGCUUCAAGAACCACAACUACAUGAGUCCCACCUUCUGUGACCACUGUGGCAGUCUGCUGUGGGGCCUGGUCAAACAGGGCCUCAAGUGUGAAGAUUGUGCCAUGAAUGUGCAUCAUAAGUGUCAGGAUAAAGUGGCCAACCUUUGUGGAAUCAACCAGAAACUACUAGCUGAAGCACUUACUCAAGUCAGCCAGAAAUCCUCCUCUCGGCGCUCAGACCCAACCCUACCUGACCCAGAUAUAGGGGUCUAUGAGGAAGUCAUUAGGAACUCCAUUGGUGGUCUGGAUGAUGGCCCCUCCUAUGCCAGGCUGUGGGAGGGCUCAAGCCCUCACCCCCCAUCUCGCCUCACCCACCUGACACGCAUCAACGUAGACAACUUUGUCUUUCACAAGGUCCUGGGCAAGGGCAGCUUUGGCAAGGUCCUGCUGGCAGAGUUGAAAGGUCAGGGGGAGUGGUUUGCGGUGAAGGCUCUGAAGAAAGACGUAGUGCUAAUGGAUGAUGAUGUGGAGUGUACCAUGGUGGAGAAGAGAGUCCUGGCCCUGGCUUGGGACAACCCUUUCCUCACACACCUCUACUCCACCUUCCAGUCCAAGGAACACUUGUUCUUUGUCAUGGAGUAUCUGAAUGGAGGAGACCUAAUGUUCCAUAUUCAGGAGAAGGGACGCUUUGACCUCUACAGAGCAACGUUCUACUCUGCUGAGAUCAUCUGUGGCCUUCAGUUUCUGCACUCCAAAGGGAUCAUUUACAGAGACCUGAAGUUGGACAAUGUGAUGUUGGAUCAUAGUGGUCACGUAAAGAUAGCAGACUUUGGCAUGUGUAAGGAGAACGUGUUUGGGGAGAACCAGGCUACAACCUUCUGUGGGACUCCUGACUACAUCGCUCCAGAGAUCCUGCUGGGUCAGAAGUACUCCUUCUCUGUGGACUGGUGGUCGUUUGGAGUGCUGCUGUACGAGAUGCUGAUUGGCCAGUCCCCCUUCCAUGGUGAUGAUGAGGACGAGCUGUUUGAGUCUAUCCGUACAGACACGCCCCACUACCCUCGCUGGAUCACCAAGGAGGCCAAGGACCUGAUGGAGAGGCUGUUUGAGAGAGACUCCACUCGCAGGCUAGGCAUCGUGGGUAACAUCCGUGUUCACCCCUUCUUCAAAACCAUCAGCUGGCCCGCCCUCGAGAAAAGGGAGGUGGAACCCCCCUUCAGACCCAAAGUGAAAGCCCCAAAUGACUGCAGCAACUUUGACAGGGAGUUCCUCAGUGAGAAGCCCCGCCUCUCCCAUGGUGACAAGAACUUCAUGGAUUCCAUGGACCAAUCAGCUUUCGCCGGCUUCUCCUUCAUCAACCCAGAGAUGGAGCACCUCUUGGAAAAGUGACGGAGGGGCCUCUCAGCCAAUCCCCAUGCUCUUAGUCCUCAAUGACAUCACUGGGGUCAUAGGGGAAAGGUGAAGCCAGGAUUACAUUACUACUGUUUUAGGGUCACUUUGUCAAGGUGUCCUCAUUCAUGUGAUCAAACCUUCAACUUGAGUGAGCUGUUCUACGUUCAGUAUUUGUGACUGUAAUAGAAACACAAGUUUCCUCUUCGGGUUCUUACUUAGUGAAACUAUAAGAGUUAAACUUAUACAGGAAUUGGCCUCUGUUGUAUAGAUAGGGAAUGUAAAUGCAGGGGGUUUGUGUGAAUGAGCUGUUUGCAUGCAUAAAGACCUCAUACCAACACCAACCACCUCUCAAUCUCAACAACCUCUGAAUGUGUGUCACGUACUCUUGAAAGAUUAACUGAAUCGAAGUUCAGUUUGUCACUGCAUGGGGAGCCCUUGCAUCUACUAGCCAAGUACGAGGGAGUUGUGGUCAUUUGGACUGUUUGCCAUAACAAGACCAAGUUCAGACUGAGCAACUACAGAUAUCCCUGCCAUUCCAUGUAGCGUCAUCUGGGACAGGGACAGAUUUGGUGUAAGUGAAUAAGUGCUUAUUGUGUAUGAUGCUAUAUGAAUGUCUUUAUUUGAGUGGUACUUAGCGAGAUUCUGUAUAUAGAUCUAUAUGUAUAUUGUUGUUGCGUAUAUUAUUGGUGCGCUAAGGAUUAGCUUUUUUUACUGUCUCCAUUUUACAUCUUAAUAAAAAAUCAUCAACUCCCAGUGUCUUUAGUCACUCACUUCACUCUGUGAUGAAUAUACAAAACACAGUGAUGUUUUAGAAACCACUCUCAGUGAACUCAUCAAGAAAUUGCCUAUUAGCAAGAUUAACCAAUCAAAUAUCUUUGCUUUCUGCAAAUUGUGAACUUUUUUUAUUGAAUGUUUAUUUGUAUGUGAUGUUGACUAAAUUAAAUUCCCAUGAGAAUUUACCUUAA